rnacentral:rRNA from 1 species
CUACGGAGGGUGCGAGCGUUAAUCGGAAUUACUGGGCGUAAAGCGUACGUAGGCGGUUGGUUAAGUUAGAUGUGAAAGCCCCGGGCUUAACCUGGGAACUGCAUUUAAAACUGGCGAACUAGAGUUGAGUAGAGGGGAGUGGAAUUUCAGGUGUAGCGGUGAAAUGCGUAGAGAUCUGAAGGAACACCAGUGGCGAAGGCGACUCCCUGGACUCGAACUGACGCUGAGGUACGAAAGCGCGGGUAGCAAACGGGAUUAGAAACCCUAGUAGUCC